CCACAUACCUGGCAGAGGGAUACCAUGAUAACGAAGGUGGUUUUCCAAUGAUAAGCUCUUCCAUGGCACUAGAGAUGCAUUGACGAUCCUUAUGAUUUUUCACAAGUGGAGGAAACUUGACAAAAUAAUUUGUAGUAAUGGAGGACUGUAUUUGCCUUUUCCCUUA